rnacentral:rRNA from 1 species
UGCGUAGACGGGAAAUUAAGUUAGUUGUGAAAUCCCUCGGCUUAACUGAGGAACUGCAACUAAAACUGAUUUUCUUUGAGUGCUGGAGAGGAAAGUGGAAUUCCUAGUGUAGCGGUGAAAUGCGUAGAUAUUAGGAGGAACACCAGUGGCGAAGGCGACUUUCUGGACAGUAACUGACGUUGAGGCACGAAAGUGUGGGGAGGCAAAACA